rnacentral:rRNA from 1 species
CAACGGUGAAACUCAAAGGAAUUGACGGGGGCCCGCACAAGCGGAGGAACAUGUGGUUUAAUUCGAUGAUACGCGAGGAACCUUACCCGGGCUCAAACCGUCAGGGAUCCCCUCUGAAAGGAGGGGAGUCAGCAAUGACCUGGCGCGAGGUGCUGCAUGGUUGUCGUCAGCUCGUGCCGUGAGGUGUCGGCUUAAGUGCCAUAACGAGCGCAACCCCUACCGACAGUUGCUAACUGGUGAAGCAGAGGACUCUGUCGGGACUGCCGGCGCAAGCUGCGAGGAAGGCGGGGAUGACGUCAAAUCAGCACGGCCCUUACGUCCGGGGCGACACACGUGUUACAAUGGCAGGUACAGCGGGAAGCCACCGGGCGACCGGGCGCGGAACCCGAAAAUCUGUCUCAGUUCGGAUCGGAGUUUGCAACCCGACUCCGUGAAGCUGGAUUCGCUAGUAAUCGCGCAUCAGCCACGGCGCGGUGAAUACGUUCCCGGGCCUUGUACACACCGCCCGUCAAGCCAUGGGAG